rnacentral:snoRNA from 1 species
GGCAGGUGAUGUCUGUUCUCACGAUGGUCUUCGUAUGCCCUGGGGGGCUCUGCCGACUCUUGCCUAAGGCAGUGCUGAUGCCAGCUG